rnacentral:rRNA from 1 species
AAUUUGUUCAACUUNUAAGCUCCUACAUGAUCUGAGUUUAGACCGAUGAGAAUCANGUUGGAUUCUAUCUUAAUAAUAAGAAAUUUUCAGCUAGUACGAAAGGAAUUCUGAAAUCUAAUUUAUUAGGAUAAUCAACUUUAUUUGCAUCAAUUUUUGUAAUU